UGACCUUUAUGCGUCAUUUCCGGUUACCCCGAAACUAGACUUGGUACGGGUGUAGGCAUAGAAGCAAGCGGGCGUUAUCCUAGGAGCAGGAAGUCGGUGUUUGAGUACCUCGGAAGCUUGCAAUAUUGGACCACAGCAUGAAAUAUAUCACCCACCUUCCAGGCCUUCUGAUGAACUAGCUGUACAACAUCCAGGAACUGAAAUGAAGCCAAAAAUCUCUGUGGUAGAUCCUGGGAGGAAGACUAGAACUUUGAUUUGGAAAUUUUCAGCAUCCUUGAUGGUGAUACUGAUGAGCUCAUUGAUUAAGAAGGAAGCUUGGACUUGGAAGGCAGAGGUUCAUUCCUUUACCACUCAUGUACAGAAACAUGGAAACAGAGAGUGAAAUGGCCACAAAAAUGUGGGUCCUGUGUCACAGCUUUGUACCUGAGAUCAAAGGUGCAAUAACUCUGCAUAAAUAAACUUCCUACAACUUCUUUCCUCAUUCUUUAGUGAAUUUAUGAGAAUACUAACUUCUGCAUAAACACUUUGUUACCAUCUGAGAUAAGAUCAAGCUCUAAAAUUUCUGGGCACUGAACCCUGAGAUUAGUAGGGGGUCAUGCAAAUAGCAACAACUUAAUCAUCUUUACCAGGAAGCAUUAGACUUUGCUGACGAAUACCAGCUGGGCAAGGGACCUUUUUCUUUCUCUCUUUACAGAUGCUAUCCCAUUUGAUCUUCACAACAGCCUCAUGAGUACUGAGGCUAUUAAUAUCUCUAUUUUUACAGAUAAGGAAACUGAGACUGAGAGGUUGAGUGAUUUACCCAGGGUCACACAGCUAGUCACUGUCUGAGGCAGGAAUUUGAAUUCAAGUCUUUCAAGUCUUUCAAGUCUACCACUACAUGAUUGAUGAAGGCCCAUAAAAAUGAAUUUGUCUAGUAUUUAACAAAGGGAAGAAUACUUUCUUCUAACUCUAAAUUCAGUGCUGUUCUUUCUAUGUACAUUAUCUAUAUGGGGAGUUUGGGUGUGUGUAAAUGUAUAAGGUGAACAAUUAACUUUCAAGGGAGUGCUAAGUUGGUUGAAGCAUGAUGUGAAGUAUAGGAGAUGAUGAGAAUCCUUCAGGAUGAGGAGAAUGGAAAAGCAUAUUAGCAGUUAGCUAAUGAUCCUCUAUCAAGACCCUGUAGUUAACAUGAGUUGCUGUGCCCAGAAUUUUGAAUGAGUUUUUGACUGAUAAACUUUUACUAAGCUUUUACUUUUCAAUCAAAUCUCCUUGUUCAAGUGGGAUUAAUUAAAGACAGGCACAUAUAGCUGUAGAGUUAGUCCUACUCAGUGUCAACAUCCGUUUGCCAAGAGGCUCUUGGAUGUCAGUUGGAAUUUUUCAGAUGAGUAAUGAGUUUUUGGGAGAUGCUAGGUGGUAUAUGGAUAGAACAUCGGGCCUGGAGUCAGGGAGACCUGAGUUCAAAUUCAGAUCUAGACACUUACUAGUUGUAUGACCUUGGGAAAGUCACUUAACCCUCUUUCCCUCAGUUUCCUCAUCUAUAAAAUGAACUAGAAAAGUAAAUGGCAAAUCAUUUCAGUAUCUUUGCCAAGAAACCUACAAAUGGAGUCAGGAGUUGGACUAGACUGAAAAAUGCCUAAAAUUGAGGUUUUUUCAAAGAUGAAAAACAAAAAAGCAUAGGGAAGUGGUGCUUUGGUUUCAAUUCAUUAAUACUUUAAGAAAGGAAAAGGAAGUCUUCAAGGAAAUUUCUUAUGCAAGUAAAUACCUCAAGAGAAUGAGUUCCUACCUGAAUUGUAUUGUUAGUCUAUAAAUGAUGCUCACUCAAUCUGUGGAUAAUUGAAAAACCAAAAAUCUUUUGAAAAAAGAAGAGAUAUUUGACUUGCCUUAAAUAUGCCAAAAAUAUUCUCUAAUCCAACUUAUUAGGGUACACAUACCCGCUACUUUGAAAAGAAAUGGGAAUUGAGGGGUUGUCCAUUCAUUGGGAGAAUAACUGAACAAGUUUUAGUAAAUGAGAGUUAUGGAAUAUUAUUGUGCUAUAAGAAAUGAGAAGAAGGAUGAUUUCAGAAAAAUCUGGAACGACUGGUAUGAACUGAUGCAAAGUGAAGUGAGCAAAACCAAAAUGACCUUGUAGGCAGUGUUCAGCAAUAUUUUUUGAUGAACAACUGUGAAUGACCUAAUUGUUUUCAGCAAUGCAGUGAUCCAAGAAAAUCCAAGAGAUUCAUGAUGACACAUGCCAUCUACCUUUUGAGAAAAAAAUUAUAUAGUCUGAAUUCAGAUUGAAACAUACUACAUUUCAUUUUUUUUUCUUCUUUGAUUUGAGAUCUCUUCCACAAAAUGACUAAUAAGAAAAUGUUAUUUGCAUGAUUACACAUGUAAAAUCUGUAUCAGAUUACUUACCAUCUCAGGGAGAGGAAGGGCAGGGAGACAGAGAAGGAAGAAAGGUCAGAAGAAGGGAGAGAAUUUGGAAUUCAAUACUUAAAAAAAUGUAAAAUUCUUUUUACAUGUCACACGAGAAAGAUAAAAUAUUGUUUAAAAUACUUGCUAUAUUUAAUUAGGAAGUAUUUUAACAUAAUUUUAUUAGCCAAAUAUAGGUUCAAAUAUAGCCUAUCAACAAAUGACCCCUAAGUAUUUAUCCUAAAAAUCUUGAACUGAUUCUGAUUUCUCUUCCUGGAGAGGGGAGUCAUUAUAGAUAAUGAAAUGUAUUGAUAGAAUCAAAGUUAGAAAGAAUAUUUUGCUAUAAUUUGCACAAAUUAAUACAUGAACUCUGUCUUAAUUAUUGGAUUAUAGAAUCAAAGAUUUAGUUGGCUGAGAUCUUAAAGGCCAUCUAAUAUGGUGCUCUCAUUUUGCCAGGAAGAAAACAGUCUCAUCAAGGUUUAGGGACUUGCUCAGUGACACAGAAACAGAAUGAAGCAGAGCUGUAAUUUGAACACAUAACCUCUAAACUCCCCAAACAAUUUCACUUUGCAGUAAUUUUAUUACUACAUUGUACCCACACCUGACUGUAAUUUCACAAAAAUCCCAUUGUCCCACUAAGAACAUAAAUUCUGACAUUUAGAGUUGAGAUGCCGUUAUAUAUUAUCUAGGCCAACCCCUGCCCUCAUUUUACAGAUGAGAAAUGGAGACCCAAAGAAUUUGUGACUUGUCCAUGAUCCCAAAUGGAGUGACAUGAAUGAGAAUUCAACUUGAGGUCUUCUAAUAGCUAUAGUUCCAAAUCCUAGCACUUUGUCCUUGUUGCCCCUUUAUUUGGUCAAAUGUUCCUAAUUGCUCCCAGCAUCAUUCUUUUCCCUAACAUGGUGUUUUCUUGGAACCAAUUAAUGACAUCAGACAGGCUGUAUUUCUACAUAAGGAAAGGAGUAAAAGGAGGCUUGAAUUCAAACCCUUAGCUGAGAUAUAGUGCAGGAGGGGGAAUCAUAAGCAUUAAGGAGGCUAAAACAUAUAGAAUUGGAGAACCCAGUAGGGGAAAUAGAGUUUGGGAAGAAGAAAAAGAGGGUAGAGUUCUCAGAAUAACAGUUGGAGGGAAUCAAAGACAAAUUUUGCCUACUGCGUAAUUUUUCCUGGAGCUGGCCUUACCACCUACCCAUUUUUUCCACACAACUGAGAACGCCUCUGGAAAUGAGAACUAUAGAGAAAAAGAAAAAAUU